rnacentral:rRNA from 1 species
UACGUAGGGGCCGAGCGUUGUCCGGAGUUAUUGGGCGUAAAGCGCGCGCAGGCGGCCUCGCGCGCCCGACGUGAAAGCCCCCGGCUUAACCGGGGAGGGUCGUUGGGGACGGCGGGGCUUGAGGGCGGGAGAGGUCGGUGGAAUUCCCGGUGUAGUGGUGAAAUGCGUAGAGAUCGGGAGGAACACCUGUGGCGAAGGCGGCCGACUGGGCCGACCCUGACGCUGAGGCACGGAAGGUCAGGGGAGCAAACGGG